UAUUGGUUUGGGGUUAAAUUUUAUAAAAAAUUAAUAAGUUUUGUUUCUUAGUAUGAUGGAGAAUUUUGUUUAGAAAUUAUAGUUAAUAAGUACAGUGAUGGAAUUAUUUAAUAUUUUAUUAAAGUAGUGUUGAAUUUUCGUACCUUUUGUAUCAGGGGUCUACUAUAUAGUUGCGUUAUUUGUAAAUUCCCGAAACAGAGAGAGCUAAAUUUUAUUGCUUUUCUACGUUAUAAAGUAGUUUGAAAAAGUUUUUAGUGGUGAUAUGUUAGUCGGUCUUUGUAUAUCUGGUUCUUUACGAAAUGAGUUUAAUUUUGUACCAAGUUUAACUGUAAUUUGGUAAUAAAGGUAGGAGGAAUGAGCUUCUUAUCUGUUGUUUUUGUUAAGUACUUUUAUUGUAAGUCAUUAGAAGUGGGCUUAAAGUCAGCCAUCUUGGUAUAACGUUAAAGUAAUAAUGAUUUGUAUUUAUAUUUUUAAAGUAUCUUGCUGUUUUUAGUAAAGAAUUUCGUUUAUUGUUUAAGCGAAAGAUAGAAUGUUUAUAUAAGUAAAAUUAGAGUUUUUUUUUAAUCUUAAAUAAAAUAAAGUUUUUAAGUAUUAGAAGGCAUUUAGAAGGAACUCGGCAAAUAUUAUCUCGCGCCCUGUUUAUACAAAAACAUGUCUGUGUGUAUAAGUUAUAAAGUCUAGCCUGCCCACUGAUUGAUUUAAAGGGCCGCGGUAAUUUGACCGUGCGAAGGUAGCCAUAGUCAGUAGUCUUUUAAGUUGACGAGGCCCUUGAAUGAAAGGUUGGACGAGGGAUGAGCUGUCUCCUUUAUGUAAUUUGAAUUUAACUUUUGAGUGAAAAGGCUCAAAUUAUUUAGUGGGACGAUAAGACCCUAUAAAACUUUAUAUAAGUUUAAUUUGGCUUACAAUUUGAGUGAAAAGUAGCUUUAUUAGGCUUAUAUUUCGUUGGGGAGAUGUAGAUGGGAUAAUCGACUGUAGAGGCCUGCAUGCUAUUUAAUUUAAUAAUUAUAAUUAGUGUGUGAUCCUUCUUUGUGGAUUAAAAGUAUAAGUUACUUUAGGGAUAACAGCGUGAUUUUCUUUGAGAGUUCUUAUCGACAAGAGUAGUUGCGACCUCGAUGUUGAAUUAAAAUUUCAGUUAGGUGUAGCCGUCUAGCUGGUAGGUCUGUUCGACCUUUAAAAUUUUACAUGAUUUGAGUUCAAACCGGUGAUGAGCCAGGUUGGUUUCUAUCUUUUAUUAAUUUGAAAAUGGCUUUAGUACGAAAGGAUUGAGCUUUUGAGAUAGUCUUAUUUUAAGAUAAACUUUAAUGG